rnacentral:lncRNA from 1 species
CGAAGGCAAACCACUCAAUAUAUAUAUAUAUAUAUAUAUAUAUAUAUAUAUAUUAUAGAUUUUUACUUUAUUAACACACGCAAAUAACCAUUGCAGUGGAGCCAUUCAACAUCAAGUGCCCUAAUCAUCACAUAACUGCACCUCACUCUACUGCCUCAAACCACAAUCAGUGCAAACACUUCUCUACUUCAAUAAAUCGAAGCAGUUGGUGGUCUAACAUCCUCCAGUACUUGAGUUUGAACACCCUGACUGUUGCACAAUUUUAUUUGGAGAAAUCAUGUACAAAAUAAAUAAAUAAGUAUAAACGGCAGUAGAACCGAAGGCACGAGGUCCAU